CACAAUUCCUUCUAUCCCAAUCAAAAUAGCUACACUUGGUUAAAUAAUAUCCAACAUUACAAAAAUAAAAUAAAAUACAUGCAUUUGCAGUUUUCUUCAACUUUAAAAGCUAAGCACCCAACAACUACACUCGUUAACACAAAAAUGUCAAACAAAAGGAAGACGUGUUGUUCUGUGUAGUGAAGAAUAAAAGGUAGCCGAAGAAGAGUGAUCAGCUAUUUGGUAUCUGAAUCUCAAGCAAGUUUAGAGGUAAUUUUCUUCAUUCCCGUGUUUCUAAUAUUGUUUUACUAAAUGGGUAAUGAUUUAUGUCUAAACAAUUUCUUGGUUAAAUAAUUUCUGAAGUUGAAACUAAAGUUUCUAUGAAUUUUCUUGUAAUUUAAUAAGUAUUAAUCAUUUUAGAUCAUUAGGUCGAACGACACGUCGUUUAAAAUGUCAUAUCACUAUAUUUUAGUCCUGAAAUCUAUGGGAAGGAUCACAACUAGAUAAUUUGAAAAUAGAUGUUCCAAUUUCAUGAAUGGUUUAAAAUCGGCGGACCAAAUUGUAAUUAAAAAAUCUCGUAUUUAUUGAUAUAUCUUAAACAGUGUUUUACGGAACUUACUAACUGGAAACUUUUGCAAAAAAAUGGAAACUCUAAGAUAAAACUUUUACUAAAUGGGUAAUGAUUUAUGUCUAAAACUAUUACUACUAAAUACUUGAGUAAUAUUAUGGAAAUGCUAACGAGUGCCCUCUGUGGAGCUGUGUUGCACAAAUACGGAUACGGUACCCGAUAUGGGUACGGGUACGGAAUACGGCAUUUUUCAAAAAACUACGGUACAGGUACGUUACUAUAAAAAAAAAAUUAAUUAAAAUAUAUUGUUAUGCUAUUUUCUACUCAACUACUUGUUUCUUUGUUAGGACAUCUUCAAAAAAAUUACAGUAAUAAAAAAUUAGCCUAUUCCACUAUUCUAAAUAUUACUACUCCUAUGAUUUAAAUAAAAGUACAGUAUGACAGUAGAGUAGCACAGCAAACAAGACAGAAUUAGUAAGUUCAGUAGAAUACAGUAUGAAUAAUUAACUACUAUUAGUCUAUGAGUAAAGAAUUAGCAGUACCUUUCUUUUUUGAGUAAAGUAGUAUAGUGAUUAGCAGCAAACAAGACAGCUAAAAUGAUGGCAAAAUCGUAAAAUCCAUUAAGUAAUUUUUUUUAAUUUCCUUUUAGUUUUUUAAGUAAGAAUUUCGUUUUUUCAUAAAACAACUCGACAAAGUUAUUAAAAUGGGGACGCGUGGGUUUGCUUUGUUGAAACGGGGUGUGCACUUUUUUUUCUUUUUUUGACUAAAUAAAAAAGGGGUGUGCACUUUGUUGAAAGUAAUAAUCUCUUUUUCAUAAAACAACUCGUCAAAAGAACCUGGUGUGCACUUAUUACAAAGAAAGAUGCUUGAAACAAUAAUACAAAUCCUUGAAAUAUAGACUAAUAAACAAAAGAAAAAUGCUUGAAGUUUCCCAUAAAAUGUAAGUCACUAACUAUGAAUAUUUAACAUGUGAAAAGGUGCCAAUAAAUCAACUCUUUACUAUCUUGUUUAUUACAUCUCACUGAUUCCAGUUAGAUUCAAAUGGCUUGUAGCAGCAACUCCUCUGCUUUAGCUACAUUGCCAAAGAAGAGGAAGAAUUAUUAUGAUGUGUUUGUCACCUUCCGAGGUGAAGACACUCGCAACAAUAUCACUGAUUUUCUUUUUAAUGCCCUUGAAGAGAAAGGCGUUUUAGUAUUUAGGGAUGACACUAAUCUUCCAAAAGGUGAAUCCAUUGGACCCGAACUCUUUCGUGCAAUUGAAGACUCUCAGAUUUUCGUUG
rnacentral:lncRNA from 1 species